rnacentral:hammerhead_ribozyme from 1 species
GCAUUGCUGACGAGUUCCAAACAGGACGAAACAGCUGUCCAGUGC